UCCACGCGAGGUCCCCGUCUCGCGCUUCGGCCGCAGAGGCUGCCGGGUGUUGGGGCUUCGGGUCCUGUGAUUGGUGACCCGGUCCGCGCCCCCGGUCUUGCCUUGGAGCCCGAGCCCAGCCCACCCAGGCCACCGCCCUUCCUCGGAUCCAGUCUGGAGGUCCGUCCCCAAAGCGACAUGCCCUGCCGCGUGGGGGUGCGGCCUGGCGAUCCGUCCUGCUUGGGGCGGGCUUGUCGUUCCCUACGGAAGCCCAGAGUGCCGCUGAGCUCUGCGCCCUGCUGGACUCCGCGCCCUGCUGGACUCCGCAGGAAAUGCAAACACAGAACUGGGACAUCAGGAGGCUGUCAAAGAAGUGUCAGAACAUAAGGCGACCGAUAAAACUGAAUUCCACUGAUAAUUAAGCAAUAAACACAUGGUGCCACGGAAGACUUGCUUUAUCCCAGGCCGUCCAGCACAUCUGCUCAUCCCCGGAGGCGACCGUUCUUGGCAGAGAUCGUCCUGCCGUGCUGAGAGGGUCCCUGACUCAUGGGGAACGGCUGCUCUUUCUAUCAGCAAGCCUCCCUCUCAUCCCGCUGAAUCCUCUGAAAGAAAUUCCUAAGUGACAUGCAGUCCUGGGUCCUAGAUUCCUGCCAGCUCACCGUCCCUGGGGCCACAACUUCCAGGGAAGUGAGAAGUCUGAAGUCAAAGGACGAAAUGAGGUGUCCCUACCGUGUGGAACCUGCACGUUUGGCUUCUAAGUUUUCAGACACUGCAGCUCAGCAAACAGGUGGCGCCAGGGGCCCCUUUUCACAAGUGGCCCUGUUGGCAUUCUCAUCCCCACCCACAGCCACUUGGCAUCUUUUGUUCUCAGUUUUGAAUCUUAGCCAUCGUUCUGGAACAACAUGGAAAAUCUCAAUCAGUGUCUUAGCCUGUGUGGCAAGAAGCUGGAUUUUGGCCACUCCUCGAAGCUCGUGUCCCUUUUCGUCCUUUCAGCCACCGUGACCCACUGGUGUGGGCAGUACACCAUCCCCUACUUAGACACUUUAAAGGAAGCACAGUUUUUCCAUUUGCAGGAUACAGGUCUAUUUGAGGGUCUCAGUUGAAAUUGAACCUGGGAAAAAGGUUAGUGAAAAUUCAACUAUUGGCAAAAAUAUGCUGAUCUUUUAGGAGUUUAGAGAAACAGCACUUUUUAUUGGGCCUGGCUCAGAUGGGACGUGUGAAGGGGUCUCUUCUCGCUCAUAGACAUCCUCCUAGUUUAGAGGCCUAUCAGAUGUACAAGUAUAUCAAAUAAGAGACUCUUUAAUAUCCUUCCUUGCCCUUUGCCGCCUCAUGAGUCCUUGUUAAGGGUCUAGGGAUGAGAAAGUUUAGUGUAACACGAAAAUAAUCCUAGGGAAAAUCAGAUUUGUGGAAUGGCCAUGUUACUGUGGGUAACCAACGUGGAAUUCUAUCUUGGAGGAAGUUUUGGCUAUCCACAUAAAUAGCAGGCCCAGAGAGACUCAGCCCAUUCCGUCCCCAUGCCCUUUCCUUGGACUAGGCUGAGUGUUUCUUUGUUCGUACCUGAUCUCGGCGUCUGGGGUGAAAAAUGACUUAUCCGGUAUUAACACCUGUUUUGUUUUUACUCAACUGAUUUAUCACACACUUACUAAAUGCCUAAAUGUGUUACUCACUUCUGUAAAAAGGAGAUUUUAACUACCUUCAUUGAGUUGUUCUCAGAAAUAAAAAAAUACAUACAUGUAAGUGCUUAGGACGGA